rnacentral:lncRNA from 1 species
UUCUUUUUAUUCCUUGUUAUUGUAAAUCUGAGGAUCUUGUAGUUGUAGUUGGUGGUGGAGGAAGAAUAAUUAUUUCUGAAGUUGUAUGGCAAGAUUUUCUUGCCGGGACUAUUGGUUUCCUAAUUCUUUUUCUGUUUAUUUCGAGGUUCUAUUAUUUUGAAAUUUUAUUUUUUAUAUUGCCAUCCUGAUGUUCAACUAUUUGAUUAGGGAUAUUGUUUAUUGGUACUUCUUUUAAUUGGUUUUCAUUUUGAAUUGACCACGAUUGGGGUAGAAUAAUAUUUGACC